CAGAUGCCAAGAGGAAGCCUCUGUUGGAAGUCACUGCAGCCAAGUGGAUUCUAUCUGGCUGGUCUCAAGCUGCUGAGCUCAGGCAGUCCUCCGUCCUCAGCCAGGGAUUCCCAGAGUGACACACUUAUUGUUUCAUAUGGACGUCACAAUUUGCCUGUUCUCCCAGCAGUGGAUGUUUGUGUUAUUUCCAAUUACUUGCUAUUAUCUCAGUGCUUAUAAAUGAGUGUUUCUCUUAUACCCAGUUCCUGGGUUAUGGGUUAUGCUUAUGCUCAUCUGGACAGUUGAAUUUAAAACUGUUUUCCAAAGUGGUUGGAUGUCCUUCAUCAGCAAUAUAUCCCAUUGGUCCUUUGUAUGUCAAACUUGGCAGUCUAAGGAAUAAUUAAUGUUUGCAUCACUGAACUGAUUGGGAAUACUUGUUUCUGUUUGUUAUUUAUUUUUCAAGGUCUCAGGAGGAACUUCAGGCCUUAGUAAGGUCAUUACAGCACAUUAACUUUGUCUUCUGGGUUUCCUUACUUGGUUUUAUUUUGGUUUGCUCACAGACACCCCUCCCAACCGAUGCGCCGUCUGCUUAAGCUUUUCCUCCAUAAUUAGUUCUAUCAGCAGUUUCUGGUUUUUGUUGCCUGAAUACACUCACAUUAAUGGCUACAUGUGCUGUCUUACUUGUGCAGGCUUAAUAACCAUCUUAUCAACAACAAUAAUAUUAACAUUUAUAAAAAUCAAAUGAUAUCAGCCACUCACUUAUCCCUCCUUUCAGUUUCAGCCAAGAAACAAGUAAAAAUCAAGAUAUAAUAUCACAUUUCUGCUUGUAAAAUUGCACUGGAGAAAUGGAAGAGCUUGGUCCCAUCCUUAUUCAAUCUGUCUCCAGUUAACUCCUGGAUAAACUCAAGAAGGCUGCCUUCCCUGUAUCAGGGGUCAGGCCCUGACCUAAGACUAUCACUUGGUAGCAAGAAGCUAAGGAAGAAAGGAUAUUCAAUUUUAAGGGAUGCAGGUAGGAGGCAGGAGACAGAGACAGACAGACAGAAGAUGGAGAUUUAGGUUGCCUACAUUUCAGUGUAGCAACCCCACCUCUGGAAACCAUGGCCCACUGCAAGCCAGACUCACCACUAUCACAUAGCUCAUCCCUCUUCCUAUGGAGGAAAUGGACCACUCUAUUAAACACUCUAUAUAUAUUAUACUAUUUAAUAUGUAAAACAUUCUUAUGCAUGGGUAUUAAUAUUUCAUUACAAUGUUAUAGAUGAAGACACUGAAGAGUACAAAUGUAUAGAUAAUUUCAUAGCUAAAAGUGAUAGAGCUGAAAUUUGAACACAGUCUAUUGACUACAGAACCCAAAAGUGUAGCCUCUUCCCUAUACUGCUCCUUUUUAACAGGAAUCUUCUGGAAACCCAAUGCCUUCAUUCAACAAAGUGACUAUACUAAGCUAAAGACCUGGCACCAAGGCAAGUCAUAAGGAGAUGCCUCAGUACUUCUUGGUUCCCCUAGAAAUAUACCUUGUACAUCGGUUUUGACUUCAGAAUUCCAAACUGAGCACUGAAAAACUAGCUUGGUAAUAUUUCCACUUAGACAUUUUAGUACUUAAUUAAAUGAAUAUCCACGUGAGGCUUAUGAGUUGCCUUGCACUCUUUGGGGUGCUAUGUGAGCCCCUACAUGUACAUGCAUGCACAUGUGCACACAUGAACACCAAAACACAUAUGCACAUACACAUAC